rnacentral:rRNA from 1 species
UGGACGAAARUCUGAYGGAACAACYCCGCGUGAACGARGAAGGCUUUCGGGUCGUAAAGUUCUGUUGUCAGGGAAGAACAAGUMCCGGAGUAACUGCCGGUACCUUGACGGUACCYGVCCARAAAGCCHCGGCUAACUACGUGCCAGCAGCCGCGGUAAUACGUAGGGGGCAARCGUUGUCCGGAAUUAUUGGGCGUAAAGSGCGCGCAGGCGGUUCCUUAAGUCUGAUGUGAAAGCCCCCGGCUCAACCGGGGAGGGUCAUUGGAAACUGGGGAACUUGAGUGCAGAAGAGGAGAGCGGAAUUCCACGUGUAGCGGUGAAAUGCGUAGAGAUGUGGAGGAACACCAGUGGCGAAGGCGGCUCUCUGGUCUGUACCUGACGCUGAGGCGCGAAAGCGUGGGGAGCAAACAGGAUUAGAUACCCUGGUAGUCCACGCCGUAAACGAUGAGUGCUARGUGUURGAGGKUUUCCNCCCNUNAKYGCKGCAGCAAACGCAUUAAGCACUCCGCCUCGGGAGUACG